rnacentral:rRNA from 1 species
CAGCCGCGGUAAUCCAGCUCCAAUAGCGUAUAUUAAAGUUGUUGCAGUUAAAAAGCUCGUAGUUGAAUUUUGGAUUCUUCCAAUUGGUCCAUCUUUUAGAUGAGUACUGGUUGUGUGGGGUCUAUCCGCCUGGUGAUACGUAAUGUCCUUUAUUGGAUGUUGCGGGUAGUCAGGACCUUUACCUUGAAAAAAUUAGAGUGUUUAAAGCAGGCUUAUGCCGGAAUACAUUAGCAUGGAAUAAUAGAAUAGGACGAAGUUGUUUUAUUUUGUUGGUUUCUAGGACAACCGUAAUGAUUAAUAGGGAUAGUUGGGGGCAUUAGUAUUCAAUUGUCAGAGGUGAAAUUCUUGGAUUUAUUGAAGACUAACUACUGCGAAAGCAUUUGCCAAGGAUGUUUUCAUUAAUCAAGAACGAAAGUUAGGGGAUCGAAGACGAUCAGAUACCGUCGUAGUCUUAACCAUAAACUAUGCCGACUAGGGAUCGGGCGAUGUUGUUUCCAUGACUCGCUCGGCACCUUAUG